CCUACGGGUGGCAGCAGUGAGGAAUAUUGGUCAAUGGGCGCGAGCCUGAACCAGCCAAGUAGCGUGAAGGAUGACUGCUCUACGGGUUGUAAACUUCUUUUAUAAAGGAAUAUAUGGAGGCAUGUGUGCCUUUUUGUAUGUACUUUAUGAUUCAGGAUCGGCUAACUCCGUGCCAGCAGCCGCGGUAAUACGGAGUGUCCGAGCGUUAUCCGGAUUUAUUGGGUUUAAAGGGAGCGUAGAUGGGUUGUUAAGUCAGUUGUGAAAGUUUGCGGCUCAACCGUAAAAUUGCAAUUGAUACUGGUAGUCUUGAGUACAGUAGAGGUAGGCGGAAUUCGUGGUGUAGCGGUAAAAUGCUUAGAUAUCACGAAGAACACCGAUUGCGAAGGCAGCUUACUAAACUGCCACUGACAUUGAUGCUCGAAAGUGUGGGUAUCAAACAGGAUUAGAUACCCCAGUAGUC
rnacentral:rRNA from 1 species